GAUGAAGAACGCAGUGAAAUGUGAUAAGUAAUGUGAAUUACAGAAUCUCGUGAAUCAUCGAAUCUUUGAACGCACAUUGCGCCCAAUGGUAUUCCAUUGGGCAUACCUGUUUGAGUAUCAGAAUCCUUUCAAUUAUCAAACUUUUAUAUAUAGAGAUGUAUGUAAAGAUGUUUGGAAUAAAGUUGAGAAAAGUAGUAUUGUUUAUAAUAUUACUUUCUUAAAAACCAGAAAUAUUAUGUUUUGAUUUUUCUUCACCUCAUUUUGUAUGAAAUUUUAACAAAUGAGUAUGAGUAAAAAUAACAAUACUUUGGAUGACCUCAAAUCAGGUAGGGAUACCCGCUGAACUUAAGCAUAUCAAUAAGCGGAGGA
rnacentral:misc_RNA from 1 species